CUCCUUUUGCAGAAGAGGAAACUGAGGCUCUGAGAAGUUCAAUCAGUUUUUUAAAACUACACAGUUGGUUAGUGGCAGGGUCAAGCCAAGGAGCCAAGAUUCAUUGGUUUAUUCAACACAUAUUAGUCAAGCUCCAUACUAUGUGCAGGGAAAGAGCAUCAUCUAAACUAACAGUUUCUGGUAGUGAAGGAGGGAUGGAUUUGGGUGUUGGCCUAUCCUUCAAUUUUGUUCAAUUAUCAACCUCUUAAGAAAGGGAACCUGAUUCUCAGUUAAGUAUAACAAGCCAAACAUGGAAGUAUCAUUCUUCUUGCCUGGGGCUGACUUAGGGAUGGACAUGUGAUCUAGUUCUAGUCAAGCAGAUGUGAAGGGAAAUUUGCUGUGGGGCUUAGAAAUAUUGCUGGGAACGAUUUUUCUUCGUCAAGGGUUGUCUUCUCUGGAUGUAAUGCCUGGAACUGGGACUAGCCUGUUGACAGGUUAAGGCUAGCUGAGAGGCGAGGUGGGAGGAAGGCUGAGAACUUGAUGACAUCACUGAACUUGACAAACCAAAGUCGGAGGCCCAGCAACAGCACCUGUUGAUAUGUUGGCCCAGAUCAAUUCAGAGGCUCUCCAGGAGAGGAAAUUGGGACACAGGCAUGAGCAGAGGUAAAAGUACAUGAAGACACAGGAAGAAGAUGAACACCUACAAACCGAAGAGAAAGGCCUCAGAAGAAACCAACCCUGAAAACACCUUGAUUUUUGGAUUUCCAUCCUCCAGAAUUGUUAGGAAAUAAAUUUCUGUUGUUUAAGCCAAAAAAAAAAAAAAAAAAAGUGGACAAAAUAAUUCACAUGAAAAAGAAAAUAAGUCUCUGCAGACCACUUUUGCCUUUGGGUUAAAAGCAAUGAGAAAUGGAGAUCAGAUGCUCCAGGUUUACUUUAAAAACACCGAUUUUAAAGUAAACCUGGAGCAGCUGCAGCACGAUAUUGAUGCAUAUAUUCAUUUGUUUAUUCCACACUCCAUCACUAAGGGACCCCCACGAGAUGAGUUCAUGUGCUGUGAAGUGCAGACUUGUUCUCUGGAAGCAGAAUGGAGGAAUCUGAUAAAAGCUAAUGUUUACAGCAAAAUUCAGAAUUUACAGAGAGAAAAGAAAACCAUGAAGGGAAGUGCUGUCUCCUCUUUGGACUAGAGGUGGACGAGGGGUGGUCGGCUAGGGAGGUUUCCGUGGGAGUCCGUGUAGAAAUUCUCUAACUGGGGAGGAUGGGGAACACAUUUUAAACAGUAGCAGAAGACGGCUAGAAGGCCCGGGGCCUGGAGCAGCCUGGCCUGUCUGGGGCACUGCUGGUGGUGUUCUGGGGCUCGGGUAGGGUCGGGAGCUUCAGGAGGGUUGGUGGUAGGAGGUCAGAAAAAUUUGAGAAGCUUGAAUUUAAAACUGCUGAAGAGAGGAAGGCAUGGAGGAGCUAAGGAAGGCAAAUAAUGCCAUCAGAUUUAUUUCUUGGAAAAACAGCCUGUGAUAGUGCAGAGGCUGAGCUGGAAGGGGAAGGGAAAAGAGGGAAUGGAAAUGGAGAGGUGUUUCUGUCUGUGAGAGAAACAUUCUAACAGGCAUGGAAUUCAAAUUUUAAAAAAGAAGAGGUCUCAGAAUUUGGAGAACAGAGACUCUAUAGACCAUCACGUUUGGAUUUACGAGUCAAAAGCUUAUUUCUGAAUCCUUCGGCAUGUUGGAGUUCCUCCUUGUGCUUUCUUAGACUGUGAUGUCUUGCAGAAAUAUAGUCCGAUGGCCAAAAGAAAUUUUUGAAGGAUUGCAUUCAUCCUUGACUUGGGUGGUUAAAAACAAACAAACAAAAACAAAUGUGAAAGGGAUUCAAAUAUACAACUGCAACUACUUUUACAACAAAGUAGAAGUGUUUCCUCUGAAACCCUCCUUCUACACGUGCUGCCUCUCUCCACGAUGUGCUAAACCUUCUCUCCAUCCUCAGCCUCAAGUGGCUCACCUCUCCUGCCCAUCCCACACUCUCCCUCUGCAUCUCCAUCUACAAAGUCUCCCAGUCAGAAAGACCCCAUCUUCACCAGAGGGGAAAAUGGCACUAGUGGCGAGUGACCAUCUUUGGUGGGUGGGAGAAGGGGAGGAGGCUGGGAUUACCCCCAGGUUAAUGAUACU